GUCCACGCCCUAACGAUGGAUACUAAGUGUCGGCGGGUUACCGCCGGUGCCGCAGCUAACGCAGUAAGUAUCCCGCCUGGGGAGUACGGCCGCAAGGUUGAAACUCAAAGGAAUUGACGGGGCCCGCACAAGCGGUGGAGCAUGUGGUUCAAUUCGACGCAACGCGAAGAACCUUACCCAGGCUGUACAAGCAGGUAGUAAAACCUGAAAGGGCAAUGAGGUAGCAAUACCAUCCUGCUCAGGUGCUGCAUGGCUGUCGU
rnacentral:rRNA from 1 species